rnacentral:rRNA from 1 species
UGGGGAAUAUUGCACAAUGGGGGAAACCCUGAUGCAGCGACGCCGCGUGAAGGAAGAAGUAUCUCGGUAUGUAAACUUCUAUCAGCAGGGAAGAAAAUGACGGUACCUGACUAAGAAGCCCCGGCUAACUACGUGCCAGCAGCCGCGGUAAUACGUAGGGGGCAAGCGUUAUCCGGAUUUACUGGGUGUAAAGGGAGCGUAGACGGAAGAGCAAGUCUGAUGUGAAAGGCUGGGGCUUAACCCCAGGACUGCAUUGGAAACUGUUUUUCUAGAGUGCCGGAGAGGUAAGCGGAAUUCCUAGUGUAGCGGUGAAAUGCGUAGAUAUUAGGAGGAACACCAGUGGCGAAGGCGGCUUACUGGACGGUAACUGACGUUGAGGCUCGAAAGCGUGGGGAGCAAACAGG